UGAGGAUUAAUUUUAGUUUGACAUUCAGUUGCACGUUUCCGAAGAUAAGUUGAUGUUGUUCUCAGAGACAAGUUCUAGGCCCUCCCACUCCUUCGUUUGUUCUUUCAAAGGCACAGACAACAAAAUGGAGCAAAGAGAAAGUAUACGUCAUACCGAUCUGAAAAAUCCCAUUUUUUAAAACACCGCUUUUCUUGAUUGGUAUCUGUCACUUUGUUGUGGUAUGAUUGACUAUGCCAGUCUGAAAGUUUUGAAUUUUAUGCAUCUAUUUUCUUACAAUUUUGCCUUUCAAACUGGGAAAAAUUAGUGCUUUUGUUAAAAAAUAACAAGAAUGUCGUCACUUCCGGUCUCUGGACUGGCGUUGUGUCAAAAAGGAUAAAAACCUCUUCUUCUCCUAAAAUUCCUAAAGUAAUAAUCACUCUCUAAAUUACCAUACUUACCUUUCUCUUCAAGGUAAAUUUCCUUGAACGCCUUCCUCUUUCCCUCUUCUUCGUCUUAUGUUCCUGUUGUUUCUCUCAAUAGGUAAAUCUCUCUCUCUUCUUCUUUUUUUCACUAUAGUUGUUCCCUUCAUGCUAUGUUUGAUUGUGCAUACUGUUUCUUACCUUUUAUUUCACAAAGAAUUAAUUGUUUUUUGGGCUUUAUGUUUCCCUUUACUCUGCUAAAAUAGAACGAAAAGAAACCCGGAACUAUAAGAAGCUAAGUAAAAUCAAAGGAAAAUGAAAAAAAUAACUUCAUCUCAAUCUGCAGAACAGAUAGUAUCUCUUUGUUUUUUUUGUGUGUUUUAUUAUGUCUUUGAUCUGACAUGAUAGCACAAAAUAUUUCUUUGUUGUGUAUUUAUGGGGAUCUGUUUGCGCUUGAUAUUUAUCCACUUCUAAACGGCAGCCAAAUGACGGUAAGUAUUUGUUGUCUCAUAAUUCUAAAUGAAGUAAUACGGAGAAGAUAAAAUUCGGAUAACAUUAAGAAGAAAACCCAAAGAAAUAGAAAAGGAAAUGUCUUUCAGGUUUAUAUGACAAGUAUUUGCCUUCAUGGUUUCAGUAUUAACACUCUUUUAACUUUUUUUUUCAGAUUAACAAUGUCUAAAAUAACAAAAGGAGACGGCAUUGCUCCUUUAUUUCUCCUUACAGUUCUUUUUAUGAUAUUCCUUAGACCAACAUUUCCCAUGAAAAAACUUCGCGCAAGAUGGCCAUGGAAUGGUGUUUAGUCAAUGUCAGAAGUAAUGCUAUUUGUUUAAGAGAAAUUAUCUCAAUCUCAAAGUCAUUGUUCAUAAAGUUAAGGUUUGUCAAACCUUUGUCCCGUCUCUUACAUCACUUCAGUAUUAGUGGUUGUUUGAAUUUUUCAUAAUUUAUUAGGAAGACUUUUAUUCAUUUCUCCUUAUUGUUUGUGCUCUAGACAUACUCUUUUUAUUAGACUGUCAGCGUAAUGGUAUAUUCGGGAACAACAACGAAACUAUCUAUACAAGACAAUGAGAAGAAGAAACCUAUGUGCAUCAGAAAACGGUAUACCAUAUUCUAACGUAAAACUACCUUUCAAUCUUCACAUAAAUUCUACGUCUUGGAAUGAGAUGAUUACUCCUUUGUCAUUAAACUGACGGCAGCAAUCAAGCAAAACGAGGUUAUGAACAAGGAUAUCGCAAAAGGGGUGCAAUCUUGUCAUAUGAAGAUUCUUCAGCAGAGCUUCUUUAACGGUUUUGUUCUUGAGUAUUCAUAUUUUAGUUCAUGAUCUACUCUACGUUCAACGAAACAUUUACCAUCAGAGCUAAUUUUUUAUGAGGAUGUUGGUAAGGCAAUCUUGCAGAGCUAUUCUAGAGUGUACUGGAAAGUUUGACAUUCAACAUCGUUGCUUGAAUUGAAGAUGUUCAUUUUUUUGUAGCUAAGACCAUGAAAAACCAAGAAGAAUAGGGACCGCAGUAAGCAAAGCCUUUUCUGAUUUCUGCAAGUGUGAGUCAUGUUAGUGUCUCCGGAAUACGGUUAAACUACCUGUAACAAAGGAUCGCUCCCGAAUAGGAUAGCACCAAGUCGAGAACUCGAACAAAUGGAGAAUUAAUUUCACUAUGUGAAAACCAAAUUGAUUGUGUAAUUUGAGAGAAGUACUCGAACUUGAAAAUUUUGUUUCUUUUUCAUGGUUUUGAAUAUUUAUAAUUAUAUUCAAGAGCGAAAUUUUGUAGUUUUCUA